CGGACGGGUGAGUAAUGUCUGGGAAACUGCCCGAUGGAGGGGGAUAACUACUGGAAACGGUAGCUAAUACCGCAUAAUGUCUGCGGACCAAAGCGGGGGACCUCCGGGCCUCGCGCCAUCAGAUGAACCCAUAUGGGAUUAGCUAGUAGGUGAGGUAACGGCUUACCUAGGCGACGAUCCCUAGCUGGUCUGAGAGGAUGAUCAGCCACACUGGGACUGAGACACGGCCCAG
rnacentral:rRNA from 1 species